AUUCAGAUGACGAGUCUCAACUAGGACGAAACGCGCGUUCUGAAU
rnacentral:hammerhead_ribozyme from 1 species